rnacentral:rRNA from 1 species
UGUGCCAGCCGCCGCGGUAAUACGUAGGGUGCGAGCGUUGUCCGGAAUUAUUGGGCGUAAAGAGCUUGUAGGCGGUUUGUCGCGUCUGCUGUGAAAGCCCGGGGCUUAACCCCGGGUCUGCAGUGGGUACGGGCAGGCUAGAGUGUGGUAGGGGAGACUGGAAUUCCUGGUGUAGCGGUGGAAUGCGCAGAUAUCAGGAGGAACACCGAUGGCGAAGGCAGGUCUCUGGGCCACUACUGACGCUGAGAAGCGAAAGCGUGGGGAGCGAACAGGAUUAGAU